AUGAUCUCCCAGACUCUGUUUCUCUGGCUCCUUGUGCUCUGCAUUCAGGACUCCAGUGGGCAGAUUGUGCUGACUCAGACUCCAGAAUCCCUGGCAGUGUCUCCAGGAGACACAGUCACUAUCCACUGCAAAGCCAGUUCCAACACUUAUACGAACCUGGUCUGGUACAAACAGAAAUCAGGACAAGCGCCUAAGCUAUUUAUCUAUGGUGCAUCCACCCGUCCCUCUGGGAUCCCAGACCGGUUCAGCGGCAGUGGGUCUGGCACUGAUUUCACAUUCACCAUCAGCAGGGUUGAAGCAGGUGACGCUGGAAAUUAUUACUGUCAGCAGCAUACCAGCUACCCUCGAACCCUCCAGCAGAGAGGAUGGAGCUGGCAGACACCUUGGGGUUUCCAUUUCUCUCUCUCUGCUGAAGCCUCAAGUAUUGUUCUAUGA